GCAGAACGCGAAGAACCUUACCAAGGCUUGACAUCCCUCUGACCGAUUUAGAGAUAGAUCUUUCCCUUCGGGGACAGAGGUGACAGGUGGUGCAUGGUUGUCGUCAGCUCGUGUCGUGAGAUGUUGGGUUAAGUCCCGCAACGAGCGCAACCCUUAUCUUUAGUUGCCAGCAUUUAGUUGGGCACUCUAGAGAGACUGCCGGUGACAAACCGGAGGAAGGUGGGGAUGACGUCAAAUCAUCAUGCCCCUUAUGUCUUGGGCUACACACGUGCUACAAUGGUUGGUACAAAGGGCUGCAAGCCAGCGAUGGUUAGCCAAUCCCAUAAAGCCAAUCUCAGUUCGGAUUGUAGGCUGCAACUCGCCUACAUGAAGUCGGAAUCGCUAGUAAUCGCAGAUCAGCAUGCUGCGG
rnacentral:rRNA from 1 species